CUACAGUCAACUGAACUGACCAGGUUCUCCUCAUGGGGCCCUGUGUAUACCGGUUCCAAGCAACAGCCUCCUUGGGAGCAUGCAGCCUGUACCUUGUUUGUGUUGCCCUGAGGGGUCUUUGAAACAGAG